UGGUCUCCACUGGAAGAGCCACAGAAAAGGGGAAGUUUUGGGAGAGAUCAAAGAGGAGCUUUGGCUCUCCUCCUUCCAGAGGAAGAGUAGUUGAUAUAUUUAAUUGCAGCUGGGACUUCCACUUCUCUUCUUGGCAGACAGUUUUGUUUAAAAUCUUUCCUUAUCAAUUCACAAUUCUGCAAGAUGAUUUAUUAACUAGAAGACUUCAUUUUACCAUUUUUUGAUAAACAUGGGUUAUAUGGAUGUGAAAUGAUUUGCUGAAAGCCAUCCUGCAGAGGUGACAUAAAAAGAAAUCCCCAGUUCUGGACUCCAUCAGGCAAAGCACCCCUGCAAACCCACAAGUACAUCACUGUCAAGCCAGCAAGCUGAGACAGAGAGAAUAUUCACCUGCAAAGUCAGCUUGAUUCAGUGCUCAUCAGACAGCACACAGGUGUUAAAGG